rnacentral:rRNA from 1 species
GUACACGAGCGGCGAACGGGUGAGUAACACGUGGGUGAUCUGCCCUGCACUUCGGGAUAAGCCUGGGAAACUGGGUCUAAUACCGGAUAUGACCAUGGGAUGCAUGUUCUGUGGUGGAAAGGUUUACUGGUGCAGGAUGGGCCCGCGGCCUAUCAGCUUGUUGGUGGGGUAAUGGCCUACCAAGGCGACGACGGGUAGCCGACCUGAGAGGGUGACCGGCCACACUGGGACUGAGACACGGCCCAGACUCCUACGGGAGGCAGCAGUGGGGAAUAUUGCACAAUGGGCGAAAGCCUGAUGCAGCGACGCCGCGUGAGGGAUGACGGCCUUCGGGUUGUAAACCUCUUUCAGCAGGGACGAAGCGAAAGUGACGGUACCUGCAGAAGAAGCACCGGCCAACUACGUGCCAGCAGCCGCGGUAAUACGUAGGGUGCGAGCGUUGUCCGGAAUUACUGGGCGUAAAGAGCUCGUAGGCGGUUUGUCGCGUCGUCCGUGAAAACUUGGGGCUCAACCCCAAGCUUGCGGGCGAUACGGGCAGACUUGAGUACUGCAGGGGAGACUGGAAUUCCUGGUGUAGCGGUGAAAUGCGCAGAUAUCAGGAGGAACACCGGUGGCGAAGGCGGGUCUCUGGGCAGUAACUGACGCUGAGGAGCGAAAGCGUG